GAGUGACUGUUGACUAGAGGAAAC
rnacentral:piRNA from 1 species